GGAAGGAUCAUUAACAAACAAACACAUGUGCGUCAGCACAUGUGCCAGCGAAUGUGCGAGAGCACAUGAGCACAGACCCUGUUGAAACCACCUUUCCCCUUUUUUUUACUGGAGGGGAGCGAAAACACAGAUAUGAUACAUGAUACAUGAGAUGCAAUGUGAACAACUUUUAACAAUGGAUCUCUUGGCUCUUGCAACGAUGAAGAACGCAGCGAAAUGCGAAACGUAUUGUGAACUGCCCUCUUUGAGAAUCAACGAAUUUUUGAACGCACCUUGCACCUGGGGGCAUGCGCCCGCAGGUAUACUUGUUUGAGCAUCGAACGUCGUCGAGCGCCAGCGAAAGUGAGCGCGAGAAAGUGAUUGUUGGGGAGAAGCGUCGACCCGUCAAUUGAAAGGCAUGGAGGAUGAGCGAGGGCGGGCGUGGAAAUAGAGUCACAUCUGACACGCCUUGCUGGUUGAUCACCCACAAGUACAUGACACAUGUGUAUGUGUGCAUGUGUGCACGAUCUCAAAUCAAGUAGGAAGACCCGCUGAACUUAAGCAUAUCAGUAAGCGGAGGAAAAGAAACUAACCAGGAUUCCCCCAGUAACGGCGAGUGAAGCGGGAAGAGCUCAAAUUUAGAAUUGGACAGCCAGUAUGGGUGUCCGAGUUGUAUUUGAAAGAGCGUCCUUUUGUUGGGGUAGGCCGUGUAGGUUCUCUGGAAGGAGACAUCAUAGAGGGUGAGAAUCCCGUGAUGCGGGCUAGCCUGGCAGUGAGAGGGGCGGUCGACGAGUCGGGUUGUUUGGGAAUGCAGCCCCAAAUGGGAGGUACAUUUCUUCUAAAGCUAAAUAGCGGCAAGAGACCGAUAGCGAACAAGUACCGUGAGGGAAAGAUGAAAAGAACUUUGAAAAGAGAGUUAAAGAGUGCGUGAAAUUGUUAAAAGGGAAACGAUCGAGACCAGUGGGGCGAUGGUUGCGACAAGGCAAGCUGUGGCGAGCCGUCAGCGCAAGCGUUGCCGGUGGGCGGGCGUGGGGAAGCGCGGAGAAGACGCGGGGCAAGGUGGCGCACGUUCGCGUGUCGCACUAUAGGCCCCGUGGGAUACGCGUGUCUCCAUGUUGAGAUCGAGCGCCGAGUCCAUGUCGUGUCACAUGAUAUGAUAUUGACUCGGUGCUCGAUGCGCACAAAAUGGACUUGAACGACCCGUCUUGAAACACGGACCAAGGAGUCUAACAAUUAUGCGAGUAUUCGAGGGACAGACUUGAAUGCGGAAAGAAACUGAAUUGUGGGACCCAUCGCACUUUUGUGGUAGGUGGAGCACCAUGGGCCGGUUCUGGGUUAGCCAGGAUUGCGCUAGAGCAUAGCUGUUGGGACCCGAAAGAUGGUGAACUAUGCCUGAAUAGGGUGAAGCCAGAGGAAACUCUGGUGGAGGCUCGUAGCGAUUCUGACGUGCAAAUCGAUCGUGGAAUUUGGGUAUAGGGGCGAAAGACUAAUCGAACCAUCUAGUAGCUGGUUCCCUC
rnacentral:misc_RNA from 1 species